AUCUUCCUGAUUAUCCGCUUUCCUUCUCAAGCUGCAAACAUCACUCUACCUAAAGUCAAGAUCCUACCACCUUCUCCAAAAGAACUCUGUUCCCAGAACAAGACAGAUAAAUGGUCAACUUUAGUGUGUGUGGCCACAGGCUUUUAUCCUGAUCAUGUGAGCGUGUCCUGGAAAGUGAAUGGCGAAGAGAGACAGGACUGGGUCUCAACUGACACCUCAGCCCAACAGGAUAAGACAACAUUAAUGUACCAUAUGAGCAGCAGAAUGAAAAUUGAUGACAUGGACUGGAUAGAUCCCAAAAAUAACUUCACCUGCACCGUCCAUUUCUUCAACGGAGAGGAUUGUGUCAAUGUCACGAACACCAUAAAUGGUCAAAAAG